GGUCGGGUCCUGUGCAACUAGGGCUCGUGAACCGAGUCAGGGCCGGAAGGCAGCAGCUCUCAGCGGAAACCUCAGUGUGCCGCAGGCAGCCUGGCCGCC
rnacentral:SRP_RNA from 1 species